GACGGGGCCCGCACAAGCGGAGGAACAUGUGGUUAUUCGAUGAUACGCGAGGAACCUUACCCGGGCUUGAAUUGCAGAGGAACAUAGUUGAAAGAUUAUGGCCGCAAGGUCUCUGUGAAGGUGCUGCAUGGUUGUCGUCAGCUCGUGCCGUGAGGUGUCGGCUUAAGUGCCAUAACGAGCGCAACCCUUAUCAUUAGUUACUAACAGGUCAUGCUGAGGACUCUAGUGAGACUGCCGUCGUAAGAUGUGAGGAAGGUGGGGAUGACGUCAAAUCAGCACGGCCCUUACGUCCGGGCUACACACGUGUUACAAUGGGGGGUACAGAGGGCAGCUACCGGGCGACCGGAUGCCAAUCCCAAAAACCUCUCUCAGUUCGGAUCGAAGUCUGCAACCCGACUUCGUGAAGCUGGAUUCGCUAGUAAUCGCGCAUCAGCCACGGCGCGGUGAAUACGUUCCCGGGCCUU
rnacentral:rRNA from 1 species